rnacentral:lncRNA from 1 species
GAGUCAACUAAGAAGCCAACUCGGAGGAGAUCCAAGAGAACUCGAAGAAUCUUCAUAUCAGAAGAAGCAACGGAAGCGAAAAAAGAGAAAUCAGCUGUAUUUGAACCAGAACCAGAACCAGUGAGUUCAUUUUCCGAUACUUCCCCUGAAGAAGACAUUGCUAUUUGUCUAAUGAUGCUAUCUAAAGAUGUAUGGAGAAGUUCAUAUGAAUCGGACGAGUCGAAAUUUAGAGAAUUAAAACAAGGAAAGUUCCAAUGUGAGAUUUGUAACAAAGUGUUAAAAUCAUCUCAAGCUUUGGGUAGUCAUAAAACAAUUCACAAGAAGAUCUAAGUACCAAUGUGAGAUUUGUAACAAAGUGUUAAAAUCAUCUCAAGCUUUGGGUAGUCAUAAAACAAUUCACAAGAAGAACGACUCUUGCAUUGAAGACAAAAACGAGGGGAUUAAGUCAAAAGAAAAUUCGAGACAACUGAGAAUGAAGAAUGUGGAUCAGAAAGUGCAUGAAUGUCCAUUUUGUGGGAAAAUAUAUGGCUCAG